rnacentral:lncRNA from 1 species
CUCUAGGUUAGGGUAAACUGUAAAGAUUGAAACUUACUCAUUUUACCUUCCACCAUGGGGCUUGCAACCGUCACCUGUGUCUUGAGCAGUUAAAAGAUAGAACGGUCUAGUCAAGCGCCAUGUCUCUUGUUCUUCGAUUAACUAUAGCUCUGGAGUUUUUGCAGAUUUUCAAAUAAAGCUCAGAGAUUCCUUGUAUGACUCUCUCUAGUCUCUCUUUUGUGGUAUUUCUGGAUCCUUACCAAGGCAGUAAAGGUGUAUGCCUUCUCUCAAAAUAUAUAGUAUUUGUGGUAUGAAGCAUAGUGUCAUUACCUUCUCUCUCAUCCUACUUCUAAAAAGGCUUUGAUAUCUGGAGCUCCUAGGUGGGAGACAGCUAAUACAUACUUAUAAGACAUUUAUUGCAUAGUCAAACCAUGGAUCCAGAAGAACAAGUCAAUAAGUCAAAUCAAGAUGUGCAUGUGUGGCGAACGAAUGGUGUAUGGUGAUGAUGGUGAUAACAAUGGUGAAAGUCUAAUUCUACUUUUGCUCUUUGAGGGGAUACAUACCUUCCUUGCUCUUUUGAAACCUUUGGAGAGAAUGAGAUGCUCUGUAUUUUCUUUUUUUUCUUUCCUCUCAGGUGGGUAUCUUGUACCCCUAAUUCUACUGUCGGACACUUGUCCAUUUUUACCUCUCGUCUCACUUUUUCUUUUCUUUGAGGUUCCGGACACUUGCCCCUUUUUAUUUUCUCGUAUUCACUUUUUUUCAGAGCACUCAUCCUCCUAGAAUAAUGUAGCAAGUGGUAGUAACCAAAAUAUCUUGAACAUUUAUUUCAUGGGGAAAAACAGGAAUAGGAGAAUGUUUUUGGCUAUUCUCUCCUGGAUUAGGAGUAGAAUAUUUUUGGGUGGUUCUAGAGAUGGAAAUGGAUGGAUAUAUGUGGAUGCGUACUUCCGGAGUAGAAGCAGCAUGUGUGAGUGAACGUGCAAGUGAAUCUUGAUUUAACCACAUGACAAGCUCCUAAGGGUCUACACAGCUUGACCACACUCAAUGCUCAUAAGCAGUAAAGUAAAUGUGUGGCUCAAAGUCUAGCAAGCAUGUAUAUAUGGCUAUGGUAGGAAUUUAAACUCUCAUCAUACAGGAACUCAUCAUAUGAUAUUUUAAAGAUUUUCAAAGAUAUAAUUCUCCAGAAUUCUAGCAUCUCUAGGAACAGAUAAACAGCAGCUCAACCUUCCCAUAUCGUAUCCGUUAACGACUUAGACUUUAGAUCAAGUACUCUCCCCACAAGUUCAGGUUUAGAGCAAAUCUUAAUUAAUACCAGUCAUGCCUAAACUUGAGAGAGAUUUCAAUUUUAAGAACAAGUCAUGGCAGAGCAACUAUUCAUAAUUUCCAUGUGAGAGCUUAUCAUGAGGGUUCAUAGCAAACUUUAUUUAUUUAUUUAUUUAGCAAACUAAGCAAAGAUAUAUAUAAGCACAAAAUCUUUAUUUGGGUUUAUAUGAUUAUGCAUCUUUUUAUUAUUUGAGUAAAAUAUAAACAUGAGUAGAGCACUUAGCUAGAUAAAUGGGGGUGCUCUCCCCCAAGCUGGAUUUUGACGUAAUUUCUCCUGAUGUAGCUAGCAGGUGGCGGAGGUGUAUUUGAAUGUCGGCAGCACCCUGACAGCGAUUAGGAUGUCCUCCGUCUACUAGUCUUCUUUGAUCCUUGAAU